rnacentral:rRNA from 1 species
GACGAACGCUGGCGGCGUGCUUAACACAUGCAAGUCGAACGGAAAGGCCCUGCUUUUGUGGGGUGCUCGAGUGGCGAACGGGUGAGUAACACGUGAGUAACCUGCCCUUGACUUUGGGAUAACUUCAGGAAACUGGGGCUAAUACCGGAUAGGAGCUCCUGCUGCAUGGUGGGGGUUGGAAAGUUUCGGCGGUUGGGGAUGGACGCGCGGCUUAUCAGCUUGUUGGUGGGGUAGUGGCUUACCAAGGCUUUGACGGGUAGCCGGCCUGAGAGGGUGACCGGCCACAUUGGGACUGAGAUACGGCCCAGACUCCUACGGGAGGCAGCAGGGGGGAAUAUUGCACAAUGGGCGGAAGCCUGAUGCAGCAACGCCGCGUGCGGGAUGACGGCCUUCGGGUUGUAAACCGCUUUCGCCUGUGACGAAGCGUGAGUGACGGUAAUGGGUAAAGAAGCACCGGCUAACUACGUG